CUGUAUUAAAUCACAAAUAUUAUUGAAAUGAGAUUGAUCUUCACUUGACCAAAGAGUGUGCACGUUUCAUAAGGUAUCAUUCGUCUAGUUUCUUCAUAGAAUUUAUUUUGUUUUCCUCUUGAUUCUGCACGUUUUGUGUUCUUUGCUGAAAUUGCAGCAGCUGUGUCCUCCGGUGGUUGCAGCGAUGACGUCUCCACUUCCGACAGCACUUAAUAUUCUGUCUUGGUGUCACACGCCAUUCUCUAAAACCAAUUUUCUUUGGUGGAAAGAUCAGUUUUUCACCGCUGUUAUGGCAAUGAUCUCUCAUAUGUUAUUGAUGAUGAAUUUGUUUCGCCUAUUCCCAAGAUCGUCGAGCUGCCAAAUCCGGAAUUUGUGACUUGGAUUAGAGCAAUAUUUUUGGUUCUUGGCGGGAUGAAAGCCACUAUCUCCCCACCGUUGUGUCCUUUGAUUCAGAAAGAAAGGCUUGCUCUCCCUCUGCCAGGAAGAAGUUGGAAGUAAAUCUUUCACCAGAGUCAAAACAAUACACAAGAAAUCUGAAAAAUCAGAUCCGCACAUUAAAGAAAACAAACUCAAUCGCAAUGACAGAUUACCUCAUCCAGAUGAAAUCAGUAGCGGACUCAUUAGCUGCUGCUGGGGAAUCGGUCACAGAGACCAAUCUUGUUGAUUUCAUCAUUGACGGAUUGGGGACAGAGUUUAACAAUUUUUUACAUAACCUCCAUUUUCAAUCUGACUUAUCAUUUGAUAAAUUUUUGGAAUAUUAAUAAAGGAAGAGUCAUUAUUAAAACGAUUUAAUAUUCCAAUACAAAGUGUUGACUCUAC
rnacentral:lncRNA from 1 species